rnacentral:lncRNA from 1 species
AGCAUGUAUUUUUUAGUUUUUAGGCCUUCCUUUUAGAGAAGGUUUCUAAGUAUUUUUAGUGUUAUAGAUCUUAAUUAAUGGCGUGGAUCUUUGAUGUGCAUGUCCCAUUAUUGAUUUUUAAGUCAAUAAGAGUAGAUAUACUCUCCUCUUGAGAAGAGGAAAAAAUCCAUCUCAUAAUUUAUUAUAUCAUAUCUUAAAAAUUAUACAAUAUAUUUAUGUAACUAAAAAUGGCCAUAAAGUUAUUGCACCUCUUUCAGCAUUUGUAUAACAAAACAGCAGCAAAUACAAUUGCAAUUCUCAAUUCAACAAACCAAAAAAAUAUCUAUUUCAAAUUGCAGAUUCUUCUGCAUGCAAAUUUACUCAUAGGCAACUAAGCAGCCUUGUAUAGCUUUGCAAUGGCAAUCUUGAAAGGAUGAACAGUUUUCUUGUGUUGGUGGUCUGAUAUUGGGUUGCGGUCAAAAUUUAGUAUGAGAAAUCAAUUUGAGUAAUAAAUAAUAAUAUCAAAAUCUUCAAAGUACGGAGAAAAGACUCAGGUUUUCAAAUUUCUUUUACUACCAGUCCUAUCAAUACAGUGAAGAUUACAUUACAUGACUCUAAAGGAAAAAGAAAAAACAAAACUAAGCGUCGAUUCAAAUGUAAUAUGUCUCACUUGAUAUGAGUUGUUGCAUACACCAUGUUGGGCUUAUGAAAAGAGACUCUUCAUUGGGGUGUAAAUGUUUUUCAUGUAGGGCCUGUUUGAUUAGAGGUAAGAGAAAAACAGUCUAAAGGUUCAGCACAAAGAAGUGGUUUAUCAAGGAACUAUUGACCACUUCAACUGUUUGUUUGUGAAUGGAAGUCUACUUAUUUCAACUUUCAACAUUUGUUGUGGUGUAAGUUGUGGCAUUAAAUUAUUAAUGAGGUGCAAGUACUCAGACUUACCACUUCCAUGCCAUUCAAAGUCAAAAACUUAACAUGUGGGGCGCUCGAGGAACACUUUUUCAGGUCUCUUCAAACCACAUGCUAGACUCCAACACUCACUGACCCCCAACCAAAAGGACUCUCCCAUACCAAGAAGAUGCAGCAUACCUCCAAUUGACCAAUAACGAAUGCCUGUUGGCUGCCUAUCCAUAUUCAAGAACUCUUGUAAACAAAU